ensembl:lncRNA
AAAGAAAAACUCCUAAACUACCUUCAGAUGAUUCAAGCUCCCUUCCUCCAGGAAGCUGUCCAGGAUGCUCUCAAACUACCCACUGCGGUUCCUCUGUGAGCCCAAGGGUGUUCCGUUCACCAGUCAUUAUCACUCAGGACUUUCCUUGCUUUCUACCCCAUCUUUGAAGGGACCAUUGUGUUUUACCCUCCCACACUCCCAGGCACACAGGGGUAACCAACAAAUAUGCUGGACAUGAACUGGGUUUUUAAUCCUGUUUGUUGUGGAAUGACUGACGUUUUCCGAAUAUGUGAUGCAUUCACAGUGCUCAAGACUCAAGAGGUACAGAAAGAUGAGGGCAAAAGUCUUCCUCUGUCUGACUUUCAGCCCAGCUCUUCCCUGGGGGCAGCCAGUCUCCUGUGAACCCGUCCAGGCUUUAUCCUGCCAGCAAACACGCUUGGGUGUCUUUGCCUUUUUUAACAAAACAGGAGAACAAUCUCCUUACAUUAUCUUCACCAUCUUUCUUGGAAGCUCUUUCUUAUUCCUGCUCAGAGGAUGUCUUCCUAUGCCUAGUCAUCUUUGUACCAGAUCCUGCAUCUUCAGACCGAGGAGCCUGUGAGGAAUAAUAGGGAGUCCCAUGCCUCCCACUGCCAGAUCCGCCUUCUGCAAGUUGCCAAUCAGCAGCUGGCUUUGCAGUCCACUGAGAGUCUUGACAUGAGGAUGGAACCAACCUCAGAGAAAUACAGUUUGCUCCCCAAGGCCAACUGCAAGGCCAAUGGGGAAAUAAAUUAUCAGUCCACUCAGAAUUAAUUUCCUAAUAACCACAAGCUAGCCAGAGACUUCCCCACCUUCCCUCGCCCAGCUCCUUGUCCUCCCUGGAGAGCCUCGGGGACCCAGAGCACUGUUCUCAUUCUCGGGCGAGGGGGUCCUGGCUCCCGCCACCCACUGCCACACCCUCUUGCAAGGGUGUCUAGUUGUCCCCAGAGUCCUGGCCCUGGCUCCUUCCUCCUUCCUUUGCCUCUUCUUAGCCUCAGCAUGGUGAGGUGAUGAAUUAGGAACCAGAAGUUGGCACAUCCACCCAGCAAUUAGCGUUUAUCUCUCUUGUUUAUGUGGCUGAACAACUGUUCAUUUUCAAACUCAAUAGUCACUACUCAGAAAGAUAAACCUGCCUGGGUCACUCCUGGGAGGCGAUUUGAGGGUUUGGUGGGAAGAUGAGGACAGGGCAGGAACUCAGCCCACGUCUUCACCUCCAAGUGCUCACUCCUCCCCAGGCCUCUGCCCUCCCUGCCUAGUCGACCAGGAGGAAGGUUCAAAUCCCCACCCUGUUCCAUGUGCGGGAAAUCUGAGGAUGACAGAUGUUGAGGGGUUCUGCAGCUUGCAGACUCUCCAUUUUUUCUCACCUUGGAUUUCAAGGGCUCUGACUUUACAUCCUGCACUUCAAUUGGGGUCUGCCUUGUACAGAGUCCUGCCUUCGGGGGCUGUAGAAGUGACCCUGAGGCACCCACUCGGCCCCCUUCCUGAGGCCCACAGAGCCAACCCAAGGGCAGCAGAGCCCACAUAGAAGGGACCCAACCUGUGAACCACACUACAACCUCAAGCCAGGAUGGACAGGGUUUGGUGGGAUGAAGCAAGACCCUCCUUCCUGCUCACCUGUCAUCACGUUCCAGCCUAAGACUACAAGGUCUACUUGACUAAUGCAGAAAAGAGGCAAGAAAGGGGCUCCCCUUGAGGUGCCAGUCCUGACUGCAGGGCUAGGGGAGGGAGGCUUGGUGCCUAUUAACUGUGGGGAAAUGCUGCCACCUACCGGCCGUGCCGUGAACUUCAGGGAGCCCUGGGACUGCUUCUGGGGCUGGGAAGGGAGUCCAGGAAAAUGCCCAAUGGCUCACUGGCCUCUCCCGUCCAAUGGCGGAAGGUUACAAGGACCGAAACCCUAGCUUGGAUGUUGACUGGACAGCAAUAAUCAUAUCACUUAUUGAGCACUUGCUGUUCCCGGUGCUUUGCACACAUUCCCAACAAUCCUGUGUGUGUGUGUGUGUGUGUGUGUGUGUGUGUCCCUCAGUCAUGUCCGACUCUGUGACCCCGCCGACUGUAGCCCGCCAAGCUCCUCUGUCCAUGGGAUUCUCCAGGCAAGAAUACUGGAGUGGGUAACCAUUUCCUGCUCCCUGGGUCUCCUGCAUUACAGGCAGUUUCUUUACCAUCUGAGCCACCAGGGAAUCCUGUAAGACACCCUUAUGGGAUUUACCCUCCCUUGGCCAGGGAGCUCGCCAAGCUCACACAGCUGGUGAGCAGUACAGUCCGGCUCCAAACUCUGUACUCCAAACUCAGGGGCCUGUCUCUGCUCCUCACACAAUGGCACGUGCCAGAUCCCCCCUUCCCUGGACCACUCCCCAACUCCUCUUUUGUUUCUUUCACCCCCACUGCCUUGCCUUCUCCCCCAGACAGCUGCUUCUCAGCCCCCAAGCCCUGUCCACAGGAUCCCAUUCCUCCAGGAGAACAAAACUCCACGGACUCCAUAUUCUGGUGGGUCCUGAUGAUCCAGGCCCAGAGAAGAGCUCAACGCUUCUAAGGUUCCAGUCUCCCCACCUUCUGAACAGGGGAGGAGUCUCUUUGAGGAUGCCCCAAGCUAAUUAUUGUUGGAUCUAAAGGUGAAGUGGGGCAGCCGGCUGGAUUAGGGGAGUCUCAGGGACUUGGGGUUCCAGUUCUGAUCACAGCGCCCCAGCCUGGGACCAAGCUGCAUUUUCCAGUCCCUUCUAACCACUCUUCACUGUGAUCUUUGCCGCACAGACUGUCAGAGCUGGGAGAGGACCUCAGGAAUGAUCCAUUGAAAACAUCUCUUAUAGAUGGGCUUCCUUUGUGGCUCAGCUAGUAAAGAAUCUGCCCGCAGUGAAGACUGGGGUUUGAUCCCUGGGUUGGAACAAUCCCCUGGAUAAGGGAAAGGCUACCUACUCCAGUAUUCUGGCCUAGAGAAUUCCAUGGACUGUAUAGUCCAUGGGGUCACAAAGAGUUGGACACAACUGAGCGACUUUCAUAGACAGGGAAGUCGGGAUCAGAGAGGGCAAGCAGAUCACACAGCCCAAAGUGACAAAUCAGGAAAUCUCUGCUGCCCAGCCUGUCUUCCUGCUCCCUCCUCAUCCAGCCCAGACCCUGGGGGUCCUCACCUCUGUGCCCACAGGCUGCCCACAGUACGCCCGGAACCACCUGAUGAGGCCAGGACAUAAGGGAGCGUGGGCCUCAAAGGAACUAGAAUAGAAACAGCGUCUUGCUUCUCUCCUUUCUCUCCCUUUCUGCAGAGAGACGCCUCCUCUGUUCCCUGAGCCACUUGGGGCCUGAGUUAGUCCCCAUGUUUUCACUUACGCUGAGGAGGGAGGCUUUCUAAGAAGUGGGAAGAAAGGAUUCCCUUGAUCGCUUUAUAAUUACAGCUCCAGCGGUAAUGGAACCAAUGGGGAUGGUGGGGGAACAUGGUGCUCCAUCCAGGCCCAGCAGAGGGCCAGGGCCUCUGGACCCUGCUGCCCUCUCUCUUCCCGCCUUUCUGGCCUCCAGGCUGCAAGCGGCUGCUCCCAGGGAGAUCCAGGCCUCAGACACGCAGGGGCCCAGCUGCCCCAUGGCUCUCAGCAGGAUAGGGGGACAGGAUCCCUCCUCAGCUGGGGGGCUUGGGGAAGGGCUCAAACUGUGGGCAACCAAGCCCUUUCUCAGAGAAUCUGGGUGUUCCUGGGGUCCAGGGCAGUGGCUCUCCUUACCAUCACAUCCAUAGGGAGGGUAGGUCCUAAAGAAGGUGGCGGGAGGCUGGGGGCACUGGGUGCCCACUGAGAUGGACCUGCUGGGCAGGGGACACUCGUCGGGGGCACUGCUCAUGGAAUCAGCCCCAGGACUGCAGGGAGCAGCAGCUGAGCCUGGGACACUGGGCCCCCAGACCUCAAGGAGGGGCGCCAGAUAGCAGAGCAUCUCUCUGGGGGUCAGCUCUCCUUCCUGAUAAUGCCCUUCCUUCCUUCCCCUCUUUCCUCUCUGUCCCCCUCUUAUCCAUCUCCCCUGAUUUCAAGGAGCCCCAUUCUGGGAAGUCUGGCUGCUGGCUGCCCUCCCAAAGCUGCCUGGCCCAGCAGGGCAGGGAGGGGAGGAGGGGUUGCCCCUCCAUGAUGGGCCAACAGGGAGCUCACUGAGGCUCUUUUCCUGAGGUGGGUGGGGCUUCUCCCUCAGUGUUGUUUGGGCCCUGGUGGGGAUCAAAGAGGGCCAUGAAAAUGGGGGGACCUGGAGGCUCCCAGCCAUACCGGAGAAGAGGUGAAUGCAAUUUUCUUGCACUUUUCUCCUUCCCUGCCAAGUUAUGCUUCCUUCUGUCUUGCUUGCCUCUUCCAGGGAGCCUUCCCUGACUGCCUCUCCAGGCCUCUCCAUGUCCCCAGGGACUGGAAGGCCUCUCUCCUUUCCCCAUGGCCCAAGCUCAGGACGGCACUACCCUUAGGAGCCGAGCUUCCCUGCCGAGUCUCAGCUCUGUGCUCCUCAAGCCCAAGAAGUCCUCCUUCUACAAAGAAGACUCUCAGGUCUGAAGCCUCUGCCUGGCCUCCAUGCCCGCCUGUGGGCCCUGCUUCCCCUGGGGCCUCGGGGGUAAGCUUGCUGGAGGCUCCGAGCUCUCGCAGCCCUCAUGGUGUGCCGGUGAUCCCCUGGACCCCACCCCAUUGUCCUCCCUUCUGUUCAGUGUUAACCAGGCAACUUCAGAAGGUCCAGUCUCCUGCACUGCCCACUAGGGACUCAGGUGGGCAUGGGGAGGGCUGGGAGCACUGCCCACUAGGGACUCAGGUGGGGGUGGGGAGGGGUGGGAGCAUUGCCCACUAAGGACUCAGGUGGGGUGGGGAUGGCUGGGAGCACUGCCCACUAGGGACUCAGGUGGGAUGGGGAAGAGUGGGAGCAUUGCCCACCAGGGACUCAGAUGGAGUGGAGUGGGCUGGGAGCACUGCCCUCUAGGAACUCAGGUGGGGUGGAGAGG